rnacentral:lncRNA from 1 species
GGGUCCCCCUCGCCUUCUCCGUGGGGCUGGGGGUCGUCGUCCCCCCCCUCGGUGUCUCCGUGGGGCUGGGGGUCCUCCUCGCUGUCUCCGUGGGGCUGGGGGUCCCCCUCAGUGUCUCUGUGGGGCUGGGGGUCCCCGUCACUGUCUCCGUGGGGCUGGGGGUCCUCAUCCCCCCCCUCGGUGUCUCUGUGGGGCUGGGGGUCCUCGCUCCCCCCCUCGCUGUCUCCAUGGGACUGGGGGUCCCUCUUGGUGUCUCCGUGGGGCUGGGGGUCCUCGUCCCCCCCUCGCUGUUGUUAUGG